rnacentral:miRNA from 17 species
CAGCCACAGCUACCCUGCCAC